CCUACGGGUGGCAGCAGUGAGGAAUAUUGGUCAAUGGACGAGAGUCUGAACCAGCCAAGCAGCGUGAAGGAUGACUGCCCCAUGGGUUGUAAACUUCUUUUAUAUGGGAAUAAAAUGUUCCACGUGUGGGAUUUUGUAUGUACCAUAUGAAUAAGGAUCGGCUAACUCCGUGCCAGCAGCCGCGGUAAUACGGAGGAUCCGAGCGUUAUCCGGAUUUAUUGGGUUUAAAGGGAGCGUAGGUGGAUUGUUAAGUCAGUUGUGAAAGUUUGCGGCUCAACCGUAAAAUUGCAGUUGAAACUGGCAGUCUUGAGUAGAGUAGAGGUAGGCGGAAUGCGUGGUGUAGCGGUGAAAUGCUUAGAUAUCACGAAGAACUCCGAUUGCGAAGGCAGUUCACUGGACUGCAACUGACACUGAGGCUCGAAAGUGUGGGUAUCAAACAGGAUUAGAUACCCUGGUAGUC
rnacentral:rRNA from 1 species